ACCUGGCUGGCUCAGUUGGUAGAGCGUGUGACUCUGGAUCUCAGGACCAUGAGUUUGAAUCCCACGUUGGGCA